GAAGGGGGCUAGCGUUGUUCGGAAUUACUGGGCGUAAAGCGCACGUAGGCGGUUUUCCAAGUUGGAGGUGAAAUCCCCGGGCUUAACCUGGGAACUGCCUCCAAGACUGGGAGACUCGAGUCCGAGAGAGGUGAGUGGAAUUUCCAGUGUAGAGGUGAAAUUCGUAGAUAUUGGAAAGAACACCAGUGGCGAAGGCGGCUCACUGGCUCGGUACUGACGCUGAGGAGCGACAGCGUGGGGAGCAAACAGGAUUAGAUACCCUGGUAGUCCACGCCGUAAACUAUGGGUGCUAGUUGUCAGGCAGCUUGCUGUUUGGUGACGCAGCUAACGCAUUAAGCACCCCGCCUGGGGAGUACGGUCGCAAGAUUAAA
rnacentral:rRNA from 1 species